GCCAGCGUGGUGUAGUGGUUUGAGCAAUGAACUAUGACUCUGAAGGCCGGGGUUCAAAUCCCCACUUGGCC